AAUAAGUGUAUUUUUGCACUAUUUAUAUUCAAUAUUUGAUCGUCUGCCUUAUUUUAAAAAAGCUUAUGAUUAAUAUUUUUACUGUUACUAGAGGAUAAAACAUGAAUAGUUUUGUGACUAAUUAUUUUUAUUUAUUUUCAAAUAAGAUGAGCGGUCAAACAUUGAACACGAAUAUCCAGAAAUGCAAUUAUA
rnacentral:pre_miRNA from 1 species